GACGAACCGUGCGAACGUUAUUCGGAAUCACUGGGCUUAAAGCGCGUGUAGGCGGGACGGCACGUCUGUCGCUGAAAUCCCCGGCUUAACCGGGAACUGGCGUAGAUACGACCGUCCUUGAGGGGCGUAGGGGGAUCUGGAACUUCCGGUGGAGCGGUGAAUGCGUUGAGAUCGGAAGGAACGCCCGUGGCGAAAGCGAGUGCCUGGACCCUUACUGACGCUGAGACGCGAAAGCCAGGGAGCGAACGGG
rnacentral:rRNA from 1 species